GUAGGUGGCAAGCGUUGUCCGGAAUUAUUGGGCAUAAAGCGCGCGCAGGCGGUUCUUUAAGUCUGAUGUGAAAGCCCACGGCUCAACCGUGGAGGGUCAUUGGAAACUGGAGAACUUGAGUACAGAAGAGGAAAGCGGAAUUCCACGUGUAGCGGUGAAAUGCGUAGAGAUGUGGAGGAACACCAGUGGCGAAGGCGGCUUUCUGGUCUGUAACUGACGCUGAGGCGCGAAAGCGUGGGGAGCAAACAGGAUUAGAUACCCUGGUAGUCCACGCCGUAAACGAUGAGUGCUAAGUGUUAGGGGGUUUCCGCCCCCCUUAGUGCUGCAGCUAACGCAUUAAGCACUCCGCCUGGGAGUACGGCCGCAAGGCUG
rnacentral:rRNA from 1 species